rnacentral:tRNA from 3 species
GCGGGUGUAGCUCAGUGGUAGAGCGUCACGUUGCCAACGUGAAUGUCGGCGGUUCGAAUCCGCUCACCCGCU